AUUGAACGCUGGCGGCGGGCCUAACACAUGCAAGUCGAGCGGAGCGGCGGACGGGUGAGUAAUGCCUAUGAAUCUGCCUGGUAGUGGUGGAUAACGUCCGGAGACGGGCGCUAAUACCGCAUACUCUGAGAUGCGCCUAGGUCGGAUUAGCUAGUUGGGUGGGUAAAGGCCUAACAAGGCGACGAUCCGUAACUGGUUGGAGAGGAUGAUCAGUCACACUGGAACUGAGACACGGUCCAGACUCCUAAGGGAGGCAGCAGUGGUGAAUAUUGGACAAUGGGCGAAAGCCUGAUCCAGCCAGGCCGAGUGUGUGAAGAAGGUCGUGGGAGUGUAAAGCACUUUAAGUUGGGAGGCGUUACCAACAGAAGAAGCACCGGCUAACUACGUGCCAGCAGCCGCGGUAAUUC
rnacentral:rRNA from 1 species